GACGAACGCUGGCGGCGUGCCUAAUACAUGCAAGUCGAACGCAGUGGGGACGGGUGAGUAACACGUGGGUAACCUCCCAUCAGAGGGGAUAACACUUGGAAACAGGUGCUAAACCGAUACUGAUGGAUGAACCCGCGGUGCAUUAGCUAGUUGGUGAGGUAACGGCUCACCAAGGCCCCGAUGCAUAGCCGACCGGAGAGGGUGAUCGGCCACACUGGGACGGAGACACGGCCCAGACUCCUACGGUAGGCAGCAGUAGGGAAUCUUCGGCAAUGGAUGAAAGUCUGACCGAGCAACGCCGCGUGAGUGAAGAAGGUUUUCGGAACGUAAAACGCUGUUGUCAGUGAAGCGGUAGCUAACCAGAAAGCCACGGCUAACUACGUGCCAGCAGCCGCGGUAAUAC
rnacentral:rRNA from 1 species